rnacentral:rRNA from 1 species
ACGGAAGGCAGCAGUGGGGAAUAUUGGACAAUGGGGGAAACCCUGAUCCAGCGACGCCGCGUGAGUGAAGAAGUAUUUCGGUAUGUAAAGCUCUAUCAGCAAGGAAGAAAAUGACGGUACUUGACUAAGAAGCUCCGGCUAAAUACGUGCCAGCAGCCGCGGUAAUCCGUAUGGAGCAAGCGUUAUCCGGAUUUACUGGGUGUAAAGGGAGCGUAGACGGCAAAGCAAGUCUGAAGUGAAAUCCCGGGGCUCAACCCCGGAACUGCUUUGGAAACUGUUUAGCUAGAGUGCAGGAGAGGUAAGCGGAAUUCCUAGUGUAGCGGUGAAAUGCGUAGAUAUUAGGAGGAACACCAGUGGCGAAGGCGGCUUACUGGACUGUAACUGACGUUGAGGCUCGAAAGCGUGGGGAGCAAACAGGAUUAGAUACCCUGGUA